GGGGGGAUGGCCGAGAGGUUGAAGGCAACGGACUGUAAAUCCGUCGAGAAAUCCGCGCAGGUUCGAAUCCAGCUCGGCCCACCA
rnacentral:tRNA from 1 species